ACGAUGUUCUGAGCGGCUUGUUAACAUGCGAUAAGGCUCUCGAAGAUCUUUGGUUACAAGAUCAUCAAUCAGAGUCCCUAUAAAACUACUUUCUCUCUCAAGAACAAUAAGUUGCUUUCCAUCUGAGUGUCUAGCAGCAUUAAUUCCAGAUAUGAUCCCCUGGGCAGCAGCUUCUUCAUAGCCUGUUGUCCCAUUUAUCUGGCCAGAAAAGAAAAGGCCCUCGAUUUUUUUAGUCAUUAGGGAUCUGGAGCACUGAUAAGCAGGCAAGUAAUCA
rnacentral:misc_RNA from 1 species